AUCACCUCUUGUUUCAGAAGAUCUGAAAGUCUUUCUAUGUCUUAAAAUUUCUUCUACAUGCAGGGAGCACCAUUUGACAUAAAUGAAGACAAGGACAAUGAUCAAAUCUGAAAGAGAGUUAAUUGAAAAGGAGUAACUUGCUGUAAUCUGCAGAUUGAGCUUCUUAGGAGGAUUCAGGGAAGCCAGAGUGAGUCAAAUGAUGUUACAUAGAGGUAUUUUCCCUGGGAGACACAACACCAUAACUUUAUUGACCUCAAAUCAGGAAAAAGGCCAACAUCAUAGUAGCUCAAAGGGGCAAAACACAAAGGGAGAAAAGAGGAA